GAAGCUUCGAGUCGCGUUAUCGUACGUCUUCCUCUACUUUUACGUGCUCGCUCUGGUUCUGCGUGUCAACAAGAACGAUCACAAGGGUGUCAUCAUCAUGCCCUCGGCUUCAAAGUUGCGAUAUAGUGGAGCCAGCUCGUCCAAAUUAGUCUUGCAUGGUCAGACCUUCAAACUGACGGCAGAAGGUCUGGGAACUUUGGACAAGGACCACCCAAGAGGCCAAAUCAAUGACAGACUAGAUGGACACGCAGGUUGCCAGAUUGACGACACCAACAGGAACGAGCACACCUGACGAUGGAAAGAGCCUCGAGCCUUACACUGUAAGUUUAUCAGCUAAUGUAUACAUUUGCAAUAUUUGUAAGUAGUAUUUUGCAGCAGUGGUAUCUUUGUAUAAUGGGGGAAGUC